AGCAGCCGCGGUAAUUCCAGCUCCAAUAGCGUAUAUUAAAGUUGUUGCAGUUAAAAAGCUCGUAGUUGAACUUCGGGGUUUACUCAUUGGUCAGGCUUAAUUGUCUGUACUGGUGAGAUGAGUCUCUACCUUCUGAGGAACUUUCAUGCCAUUUGUUUGGUGUGGUUGGAAAUCAGGACUGUUACUUUGAAAAAUUAGAGUGUUUAAAGCAGGCUAACGUCUGAAUACAUUAGCAUGGAAUAAUGAAAUAGGACGGAUUGAUUCUAUUUCGUUGGUUUCUAGGGUCACCGUAAUGAUUAAUAGGGAUAGUUGGGGGCAUUAGUAUUCAAUUGUCAGAGGUGAAAUUCUUGGAUUUAUUGAAGACUAACUACUGCGAAAGCAUUUGCCAAGGAUGUUUUCAUUAAUCAAGUAACGAAAGUUAGGGGAUCGAAGACGAUCAGAUACCGUCGUAGUCUUAACCAUAAACUAUGCCGACUAGGGAUCGGAUGAUGUUAAUUUUAUAAUGACUCAUUC
rnacentral:rRNA from 1 species